GGGGAGGCAGGGCUAGAAGCGAGCGCAAUGUUGGCUGCAGACAAUUAAUGUGGAGAGCAGUAGCCUAGAGCUAAGCCUUUGUGUUGAGACAAAUGGAGCAAGGGGUGGUAUACUGCACCCUGUGUUAUCCACCCUACGAUCCCUGCAUCUGGGCGUACAGGCAACUGCACAUUGUCUGCAUUUAUGGCUAUGAAGAGGGAGGAUGACGUGACAAAAAGCUCGUGAACGCUUUCUGCAGGCUGGAUGGGAAGUGCAGCUGAGGAUUUUGCGCAAGCAUCAGCAGUGCAGAGCCGUCUGUCUCUCUUUUGGAGACAAAAAUUGCUCCCAAAGAUAAAACUGGCAUGAUGGAGGUCAACCUGUAAGAAUAAAC